ACCUGCCCUUGACUCACCAGGACUCCUCAGCUCAGCUUCUCAAAAUGAGGCUCCCUGCUCAGCUCCUGGGGCUGCUGCUGCUCUGGAUCCCUGGAACCAGUGGGGAUAUUGUCAUGACCCAGACUCCUGUCUCCGAGCCUGUCACCCCUGGAGAGCCAGCCUCCAUCUCCUGCAGUGUCCAGCUGAAAUACAGUGAGGAUGCAGUUUCCACUCUCCCUGCCUGACACCCUUGACUCCCUGCCUUCAUUUUUGAAAGGAUCAGAGUUGGAAAAAUCACUCAUAUGUUACCAAGAAAGUAGAAGGUUGUGCCAUGGUGUCAAGGAGAUUCCUAGAUAAUAGAGCUCCUGGUGAAUGUAACGGAAAUCCCAACUAUUUGUGAUGAGUAUUAAAUUUAUAUGCAAAUAUUUAUUUAUGUGGAUGAAAAAUAAUUCACAGUUCUUUAAAUUUAAAAUGAAUGUUGUGAAUAAGUAAUUUUUAAAAUAUUUGGAAUCCAAGAAAGGUGAAAGAAACAAUUGUGGUAAAGGGAAACUGUGAUUAAAACCACACAGUUAGGGCUGGGGAUGUGGC